GUAAAUGUUAUCGACAAGACAAAAUUGACAACAUAUCAACAAUUCCCUUUAGUGACCCCGGAGUUAUCAAGUCUCCCCAACAGCAACCUUUUCCUGGCUGCUAUUUCCUCCACCGUCACUUCAAGCUCUCGCUUGCUGAAGUUUGUAUUGCGCUUGCCUUUGUUAUCCAUUUUUGUUUUUGAUAUAGCUCGUCUGAUGGGUAUAAUGUGUAAAACACAACGUUUGUUUUUGUGUAUAAAGGCUUUGCGAGCCAACAGAAAGUAAUAUUCGAGACAUAAAGCAGAUAAAUAAAUGUAAUGAAAUGGAAAUGCUUUAUUAUAGUGGGCCAAAUUCUAUACUCCCUGUCAUAUAGGCUUAUUUAUUGGUUUCAAGCAUGUCACUAAUAUUUACAAAGUUCUUAGGAAUUAUAUUUUCAAAGUAGACAAACAGCUGUCUUACAAACUCAUCUUUUCCCCUGCUUGCAGCCUCAACCGUCCACCAAAGUCUGUUCUCCUGAGCUGCCCUGUGAUCUGCCAUUCCAAAAUACAGUGAGCAGUUACCUGCAAAUAAUUGUAUCAAUCCACACUGUCUUGUCUUUGGAUCUCUUAACCUGUCCCAGGUAGUAUAAUCAAGUCUACCCAACUGAUUUACAGAAUGAAAUAUUUUUGUUUGUUUUUGUAUUCUAUAUGUAACUCAUUGUUCUAUUUGUGAAGGAAAACACAACUGGACCAGUGGCACAGGAG
rnacentral:lncRNA from 1 species